ensembl:Y_RNA Y_RNA Y RNA
GGCUGGUUCAAAGGUACUGUGUUAUCUCGAUUGAUUUUUCAGUCAGUUACAGAUUGAAUUUUUUGUUCUACUCUUUCCACUCUUCUCCCUACUGCCUUGACUAGCCUUUA